rnacentral:misc_RNA from 1 species
AGGAUACAAAACACAUAAAAAUGAGACCAAUCACAUUGAGAAAUAAGGAAUGAACGGAAACAAUAACAAGAACGAUAGAAAAACAAAUGAAAACUGGCAAACUUCGUAAAGGAAAGUACGAAGUUGAAGACCUUCUGCAUGAACGAAUAAAGAAACGAAAGAAAACGAACACAAACAUAAUAUCAAUGACUGACGCACAGAAGACACAUAGUAACAUACACAGGCAGAAAUCUCGGUACAACGAAGGAAUAAAAUUCCUUGUUGUUCUUU